rnacentral:lncRNA from 1 species
CAUCUUGUGAGCAUCUGGGCCAAGUUCAGGGCUGGUGCUCUCGUUCAGAUAGAUUUAGCUGGUGGUGCAGAGAUCCGUGAGCUUGCUUUUACAGGACUUUAAUGAUAUAUAAAAGCAGCACGAGGUGCUCCUGACUGUGGAUUAAUUUGGAGAUGACUUUCUCUGUUGAAGAGUAGCAAGACUCUCGCGAGUUCUUAAAAAUGCACUUGUUUGGUAUGAGAAUGAAAAGCAGUGGCUGAAGAACCAAUCUUCAAUGGGCAAGCCUUCUCUGACAUCAAUAUCUGGCUUUGAGUGGCACAAAGAAAUAAAGGAAUGUGGAUUCAGACCUCACUGGGAUGCUUGGCAAUUCUAAUUCUACCCCAGACUGCAAAUGGACACACAACUGUUGUGACUUUUGUUGAAGAGGAGAAGGAUGGUGAAGGUCUCUUUAGUCAAUAAUCUCUUUGCUGAAAUUGCUUCGGGCAGCACAGAAGCUGGAUUCAGAAGCACACAGGUCUGGGGAUGCAGGCUUCGGCCAGCCUGAUGCAAGGAAAGACUGCCAUCUCGUGGUCAGCUCAAUCCUGGCACCUUGGUGAGGGACCAGGCUGCAGAAAACCAGGCUUGGGGAGGAAACGGUGCUGCAAACUGGAUUUCUGCCGGACAGUGUGGAUGCCCUUAGAAAACACCCAGAAAAGAGCUGAGUGCCCCCCAAGACUUGCCCUGAAUUCUUUCAUGUGCAAUAUCCGAAAACCCUCUCUUGGGGCCUGGAUCAGGACCCCUUUCCUAUAACAUCUUUCUGGCGACAACAAAGGGACAAUGGUGUGGAAUCCCCCUUCCCAAAUGCUACUUUUAGAUAUCACCUUUUGUCGGAACUUGGAGUUGGUAAUGACCUUCACCAUACCACCACUCUGGGACUGAGCUUCUCUCUACCCUGAUGCAAGAGACCCUAAUAGGCAGGAAUAUGACCACCCCUAUUCAGCCUGAAGAAGUUACAGAAGUUCUGAAACCCUUAGAAAUGAGGGUCUUCUUGUAAAGGGAGUGGGGAGAUAUAUCAGAGGCAUUUGAACCAGAGCAACUCCAUCUUGAGUGAGGGCUAGGAAAAUGAGGCUAGGACUUGCUGGGCUGCAUUCUCAGAAAGUCAGUCAUUCCUAGCCUCUAGAUGUUUACGGUUAAGGGAACAAAUUUAUAACAUUUACUAAACACACCCAGACUUGGGAGUGUCCAGAUAUCCCAAUAUCUGGAGAACAAAGGCAUUCCUAAUUUUGCUUUAAAGACAAUAAUAUUGAUUCUUGCAAAAUAUAGUAAUUAAGAAAAUUAAUCCUUUAUCACAAACCCUUGUAGUAAAACACAUCUCCCCAUAUAUACAAGCAUUGUACCUAAGGUGGAUGCGUUCCAUCUCUUACUUUCAGGAAUGUCCUACACUAUCUAAGGAGUAGCUGUACUUUCACCACUUUACUUUCUUAAUAAACUUGUUU